AUGCGGCCCUGCAGCGUGAGAACCGCGGCGCGCCCGGUCCGGAAGGCCCCGCUCCUCGAGCAGCCUGGAGCCGCCCGAGCCGGCGCACCCUGCUGCGCUCCCCUGGGCGGGCCGGCAGGCGGCACAGCUGACGGCCGCGGGGCGGGGGCCGGAGCGGCCCGGGCGUGCGGGUGCACGACUCCCUCCCGGGCACACCUGCCCGGGGCCGCGGGAAACGCUUCCUUACCUUCCUGCCGUGCCCACCGCACGAGUGUGCACACAUGCCCCGGGGAGCACCGCGCCCCCGCGCACUGGCCGCCGCCCUGCCCACCUGCCCGGGGACUGGGCGUGCGUGGGCACGCGGGUGCGUGUGCGUGUGCGCGUGCUGCCGGGACCCCGGGACCCGCGCUUUGCAGAGAACCGUCCGCGGCACCCCGACGGUGCUGGAACACAGUGGCCUGCUGCAGGGGGUGCGCGCGGCGGGGCCCUGGCGGCCGGGGCGAGGAGCAGGGCGCGCGCGUGGGUGUGGCAGGGCCACGGUCGGGGGUGGCCCUGCGAGGGGGGCCGCCCCGGAGGCCCUCGCCGAGGGGCUCUCAGGGGCCAGGCCUGCGACAGACUCGGUCCCCGGUCGCCCCGGGGGUUCCCCGCCCCCCUGACCCGACUCCAGCCCCGGAGGCCCCGGAACACGGCGCCCGGCCGACUGCGGCUCAGACUCCCAGGACGGCGCGGCGGGACCUGCAGGGCGCGCGGGACAGGAGCCCGACAGAGCCCUCCGCGGCGCCCCGGGGCCCGGACGCCCUAGGGGCUUCUCCUCGGCCUCCGCCCGGAAGGACGGAGCCCCCAGGCCUCGGGGAAGGCGGCCGCCGGCCUGGCCCAGAUCCCCGGAGCGGCGGGGCCGGAGCCCAGGGACCCGGGCACGUCGGGAAGGCUGGGCCGUGGUUCCCGCGCGCUGGCCCCGCCCCGACGCCCCGGGGAGUCCCCUCAGGUCCCUCAGCGCAUGCGCGGGGCCCCCGCCCCGCCCUCCUGGCCCGCCCCUUCCGCUUCGCUCCGCCAAUCACGAAGCUCUGUUCCUGA
rnacentral:lncRNA from 1 species